rnacentral:lncRNA from 1 species
AUCUUUGUCGUAAGAUGCCAUAAAGCAGCUUUCACAAUAUGUAAAUGUUCCAUUCACGUUAAAAUUAGAGCUUACAUUAACUGAAAUAAUUAAAAAUGCAAUAAUUAUUAGAUGCAUGUUCUCUCUAACUGUUCUGUAAUGUUGUGCUAUACAUGUCAAACAAAAAGGAAAAGGUUACAAACGCAAGCUUCAACCUUCUAGGACACGAAAAGCCGCAUUUUUUGCAUCCAUCAUGUUUGGGGCUGCUUCUAUACUAAUCCUGCAUAUACACAAGUAAUUGAAAAAUGAAAAUAUUACAACAAGAAUCUUCAUGCCUGACCUCACAGCUGAUAUGGGCUUACCCGUAGAGCAACACCAUUUGCUUCAUAUAUCCACAGAGCAGGACGAAACUUGAGAGUUAGUUUUAGUAGAGUUAGUUUUAGUAGACAUGGCAAACCCUAUGGGUAAAAUGUACAGUUCAUGAAGGCCAGAGCAUAUGUCCAAUCCUCCGGGAAAAAAGGUUGACCAUCCGAACUUUCCUAUAAGAACACAAGAAGAACAAAAGGGUGCUGCUAAAGAGUGAUUACAAUUUAGCACGCUAUCCUUGUGGUAAAGAUCAUUCUUUUCUUUCUGGUUAUGGGGAAUAAGGUUUCUGUCUUUGAGAUUCAGCAGUGAAAUCAGCUUUAUA